ACCGUCGCUAAGCAACUCCACAUUAGCUGUCACAGUCCCAAUCAUGAUGGACAGGACGGCAAAGCCUCACCCUGUGGUAGAUGCAUGAUCCCAACGCUGAUGCCAGACACCAGAUCUCCGACGGCGUUGUGUCUGACGGAGUAAUGAGGGAGCCAUGACAGGACGGGAAUAACCUCCAGCACGAAGCUUUUUAUCCUGGAACCAGAACACCUGGAGGAAAACACGCACAAGCUAUCAGCUAUAGAGCCUCAGAUAAACAUGGCUGGGUCAAACGCACCUCUGCCCGAGGAGAUCCAGCUGUGCUUCGUCCAGGGCGUCAGCGAGAACAAGCUGCCUGGAGCGAGGCCGGUCA